ACUCCUACGGGAGGCAGCAGUGGGGAAUAUUGCGCAAUGGGCGAAAGCCUGACGCAGCGACGCCGCGUGAGGGAUGAAGGCCUUCGGGUCGUAAACCUCUUUCAGCAGGGAAGAAGCGAGAGUGACGGUACCUGCAGAAGAAGCACCGGCUAACUACGUGCCAGCAGCCGCGGUAAUACGUAGGGUGCAAGCGUUGUCCGGAAUUAUUGGGCGUAAAGAGCUCGUAGGCGGUCUGUCGCGUCUGCUGUGAAAACCUAGGGCUUAACUCUGGGCGUGCAGUGGGUACGGGCAGGCUAGAGUGCGGUAGGGGAGACUGGAAUUCCUGGUGUAGCGGUGAAAUGCGCAGAUAUCAGGAGGAACACCGGUGGCGAAGGCGGGUCUCUGGGCCGUAACUGACGCUGAGGAGCGAAAGCAUGGGGAGCGAACAGGAUUAGAUACCCUGGUAGUCCAUGCCGUAAACGUUGGGCGCUAGGUGUGGGGCUCAUUCCACGAGUUCUGCGCCGCAGCUAACGCAUUAAGCGCCCCGCCUGGGGAGUACGGCCGCAAGGCUAAAACUCAAAGGAAUUGACGGGGGCCCGCACAAGCGGCGGAGCAUGCGGAUUAAUUCGAUGCAACGCGAAGAACCUUACCAAGGCUUGACAUGGGAUGAAAACUCGUAGAGAUACGGGGUCCGCAAGGGCGUCUCACAGGUGGUGCAUGGUUGUCGUCAGCUCGUGUCGUGAGAUGUUGGGUUAAGUCCCGCAACGAGCGCAACCCUCGUUCCAUGUUGCCAGCACGUUAUGGUGGGGACUCAUGGGAGACUGCCGGGGUCAACUCGGA
rnacentral:rRNA from 1 species